UACGGGGGGGGGCAAGCGUUGUUCGGAAUUACUGGGCGUAAAGGGUUCGUAGGUGGCCAACUAAGUCAGACGUGAAAUCCCUCAGCUUAACUGGGGAACUGCGUCUGAUACUGGUUGGCUAGAGUCUCGGAGAGGAUCGUGGAAUUCUCGGUGUAGAGGUGAAAUUCGUAGAUAUCGAGAGGAACACCGGUGGCGAAGGCGGCGAUCUGGACGAUGACUGACGCUGAGACGCGAAAGCGUGGGGAGCAAACAGG
rnacentral:rRNA from 1 species